rfam:Streptomyces scabiei 87.22 complete genome
UCGCGUCAAGCGCCGUAGGCAGGAGCGGGGGACCCAAGGUAAGUGCCGGGUCCGGCGGUUGCGGCCCUUCGGGGGCGCACGACCGGAACCGGCUGGGGGUGAAGCCGCGCGACGUGAGCCGAGAGGCGAGCGUGCGCGGCCGGGCAACUCAACCGGCCCGAACCCGACAGCUCACCUCGCAGGCGUCGGUGAGGGGAUCU